UACAGAGGUCCCAAGCGUUGUUCGGAUUCACUGGGCGUAAAGGGUGCGUAGGUGGCGAGGUAAGUCGGAUGUGAAAGCUCGGAGCUCAACUCCGAAAUUGCAUUGGAAACUACCUUGCUCGAGGGUUGGAGGGGGGACUGGAAUGCUUGGUGUAGCAGUGAAAUGCGUAGAUAUCAAGCGGAACACCAGUGGCGAAGGCGGCGACCUGGCCAAUCACUGACACUGAGACGCGAAAGCGUGGGGAGCAAACAGG
rnacentral:rRNA from 1 species